UUGCAGCACUCCAUGAUCAAUAAACUUGGUGGGAGGUAGUUGUUUGCACUGGUCUUCGCGGGGAGAGGGGCCGGCUGCAGGGAUUCUCAGGCUGACUUGUUUCUCUGGAAAUGAGUCUCCGGGCCCAGGGGGCGGGGCUUGGUGUAGGGUUGGGGUCUCACUAGGUGGCGCUGUUUUGCGCCCUGAAGGCUUUCAGCCCGGUUGAGCGGGAUGAAAAUGGCUGCGCCCUGCUCUCUAGCCUCGUACCUGAAAGUUGGGACCCCCUAUCCUUCACGGAGCCCUCCCAGAAAAGCAACCAAUCACCGUGUUUGUUUCCCGGUUUCGGUUUGAACCCUGCCAGAGUUUGAGGCUUUUCUUCUCAGGCAAGUGACACAGUUUCAAAGUUCCAAAUUUUAGAGUCGCCAAAGGCGUGGACCGGCACUGUUCCUCCAGCGGAGGGUCUCCCCACGCGUGCUGCCCGGUCCCUGGAAGGCAGGUCCUCUACCCCGCUGCAGUUUGCAGUUUAUGCCUGCACCAAGACCUGCUGCUCUCUGCCCGCUUCCCGGCUCCCCUGCCUGGGAACAGCGCAGCACCUUGGCGCCACCCUUUCCUCCUUGGACCCUCGGGAUCCUCGGUGCACCCGGUCACUCCUCAGAUUCCGUCCCUCUUCGCCAUCUGAGCACUUCUAAGCCAGAUAGAGCCAGCAUGAAUGUAAGAUAAAGAGGAGGAAUCAAAGAUGACCGCAGGGGUUUUGCCUGAGCAGCUGCAAGGAAGAAGUUACCAACUGGCAUCAGUAAGUCUGGGCAGGUCAGAACCCAUUGUUAAGACGCCAGUGGUUCCAAGUCCUGUCAAAACAAGAGUUACCAGUUGGAAGAACGAGAAUGUUUGCUCCACGGUCUUUCAGUCGACACACGGUGGCCGUGAAGACUGUAUGUGUGACUGGAGGACUUUCUUUCCUGAGGACUAAAAAACAAGCUAAAUGAAAGUAAAAAUAAGGUUAGGACUUGAAACCCAUUGGUUUCAACUCCAGUCCGUGGCCCUGUGAAACCCUCUAACCUACCUGAUGGCACUGUCACAAGGGUGUCAUCUGCAGAUCAUGGCAAACCUUGUCUGAAACCCAACUCAGAGCUUGCUCUUCUCAAGAAAAUGGAGAAUCCUCCUCAGCAUUAACUUGGGGUUUCUCUGAAGUCCACCAAUAUUGAAACAAUUGGAUUUUCUGCCAAGAGACAUUAAGGCUGAUUUGACAAGAAUGACGAGGCACUUUAAGAGUUGAUUGACUGUUAGUACAAGGCUUUUAGAGCUUUCUAAAAUUGCAUCAACUGUAAGUGAAAGAAAUGGAAGUAUCUACUCAGAGCUUCAAAGGAAAGCCUGUGACAUGAGGAACGAAUGGUAGCAUGGCCAAAUAUGAAUACAUCUAUCCAACACUUCUCGGAUCCCUAUAAUAUACAAAUUCAUUUGGUUCGUCCACAGUUUUCUAUAGUCCUCAUACUCAGCGACCCAUUAAGAUCUAAGCUAAUCAAUGUAAAAAAAUCAUUUUGUGUUUAUUGAAGGCUUUUCAGAAGAUCCAUUCAGCUAAGACUCUUACUGAAUGUGUUUUCGUAUGUGUUUUCAACUCUAUCCUGGAGCUUCCUAUCUAAGGCCAACUUACCCUCCUGUCACCAUAUUCAUAGAGUGAGGCAACAACAGAAACCAACUGAAAGCAAAAUCUUUGAAGCUGGCAGCAUCUAUGCUGAAAUCUUCAAGAUACUUUUGGUGAUGAUAUCAAGUAACAUCAACCUACUCAGGCAGUAUGUAUGAAGUUGUAACCCCAGUGAGAUCAAUCUGUGUGUCUCUUGCCUUUCACCACCUUAUUUUAGAUAGCUAUUUGUUACAAGUGUCCUGACACUUUUUAAUAUUUUAUAACUAAAGAUAGACAAAAUGUGCCUGGCAAGAACAAUAACUAAAGACUGAGUAAACAACCCAGGACCACUCAUUAUGCCAGGAAAUAUGUGCUUACGCUGUGACAAUGGCUGUCGUCUUGGAUUGGCCCCAUUAACCACCUCUGGACAAUCAAGGCAAUGAUGGAAGCCAUUCUCUUCCUCUAACAAGAUAUUGCCAAGAAAGUACACUGCUGCGCAACCAGCUGUUUGAGGAACUGAAGAGGAUGAAAAGAGGGUGAAAACAGAUGGGAUAUAUUUUGCAUUUCUACUUAGAUAUGAAUAUGUACAUAUGAUAUAUUAGGGCAUCUCUCCCACACAUGUCCUUCUCUUCUUGGUACAUUAUGUUAACCAUUUAUCACUUUCGUAUGUCAACUUUAUCCAAAAAUUAUAUAUGCUCUUUGUUUCUUAGAUUUACUCCUUUCUUUACACCACUUUUUACUGAACUAUUUGGUUAGAACUUGUGAAAACUUCUUGUAGCUUAUGCUGCAUGGAAGGUACUUUGUGUAGAGGGAACAUUUGUUUGAAACAAAGCUUAAAGUGUACUCUUUGCUAAGAAUCAUACUAGGCUUCAAUAUAGGGAGAAAUACAUAGUUGAAAGUGUUUAGAUUGUCCUGGUGCCAUAUUUUUAAAAUCUCACAUGUAAGAAACAUAUAUACUUUUUUGUUGAAUUGGAAAAUAUAGAAAGAAGAAAAAUAAAUCAAUAAAUACAUAAAUAAUAAAUAAGAAGAAAAUUAGCACUGUACAUAGUCUCAUCACCUGGAGAUUAUCUGUCUAUAUUCUUCCUCUAUCCUUCUAUCUCACACAGAAGUAUAUAUUUAUAUACGUAUGUAUAUAUGCAUGUGUAUGUAUGUACAUAUUUGGGAUUAUAUGGUAAACACUA